GAUGAACGCUAGCGACAGGCUUAACACAUGCAAGUCGAGGGGCAGCAUAAAAGUAGCAAUACUUUGGUGGCGACCGGCGCACGGGUGAGUAACGCGUAUGCAACCUACCUAUCAGAGGGGAAUAACCCGGCGAAAGUCGGACUAAUACCGCAUAAAACAGGGGCACCGCAUGGUGAUAUUUGUUAAAGAGAUUCGCUGAUAGAUGGGCAUGCGUUCCAUUAGGUAGUUGGUGAGGUAACGGCUCACCAAGCCGACGAUGGAUAGGGGAACUGAGAGGUUGGUCCCCCACACUGGUACUGAGACACGGACCAGACUCCUACGGGAGGCAGCAGUGAGGAAUAUUGGUCAAUGGGCGGGAGCCUGAACCAGCCAAGUCGCGUGAAGGAAGAAGGAUCUAUGGUUCGUAAACUUCUUUUGCAGGGGAAUAAAGUGCAGGACGUGUCCUGUUUUGUAUGUACCCUGAGAAUAAGGAUCGGCUAACUCCGUGCCAGCAGCCGCGGUAAA
rnacentral:rRNA from 1 species